AUGCAGGGCAAUCUGUCUUUAAGUAGGGGAAAUCACACUAAAAGAAACGAAUCCUAGAUCAUUUUCCCUUCAAGAGCCUUGA
rnacentral:pre_miRNA from 1 species